rfam:Cavia porcellus supercont2_37 genomic scaffold, whole genome shotgun sequence.
GGGGAUUUAGCUCAGCGGCAUAAGCACCUGCCUUGCAAGCAGGCAGUCGGGAGUUCGAUCCCCGGUCCCGA